rnacentral:misc_RNA from 1 species
AAGUCGUAACAAGGUCUCCGUUGGUGAACCAGCGGAGGGAUCAUUGCUGGAAGCGCCGCAAGGCGCACCCAGAACCCUUUGGUGAACUUAUGCCCAAAACGUUGCCUCGGCGCUGGCUGCCUCUCCCCUAGGGGAGGGGCCCGAAUCCCAGGUGGUCAAACACCUGGGAGGAGGACAGCAGGCCCGCCGGUGGCCCACCAAAAUAUUGUAUUCUGAGUAACAUCUGAGUAAAGCUUCUAAAUAAAUUAAAA